UUUCCCUUCUUUCUUUUUCUUCUUUCUCUUUUUUCUGUUUUUCCUUUUUUCCAUAUUUCCAUCUGAACGAGCAAAAGUACAAGUACAAUCAGGGGGGAUCAUCAAUAUCAAAAAACACAUAGGGCACAUCAUCAUGUAUCAGCAAGGCACGGACCCUACGUGGCAGAUCAUUGAGGCUCCGAAAGAUGGCCUCCCCCGGCCUAUCCAUCGCCCAGUCAGCUAGUGCCUGUGCAGGCAUAUUGGCCCUGGAUUCUAGGGUUUUAAUCAAUAAUGUGUUUGUGUUGAACUUGCAGAACAAUUUUCCCUAAGCAAUCAAUGGUUUAUUCAGACUAUGAAUAAAGUAUUUGAGCAUGCAGGAGAUUUGGUGAACGUAAAGGUUGCACAUAAUUUAAUGUGACUGAUUGCUGAAGGGUUUGGAGAAGAUGAUAAUAGCGCCGACAGUACUUUUUAACAUCUUUUGACUAUCCAUGUCAUCUUGAGCAUCUUUUAGUCAUUUGUUGGGUCUUGGAAGAAUAUGAAACUGCUGAUUGUAAGUAUUCUGCUGCCUAUAUAACUGGGAAAAUAUGUGAUAUUGCAGAGGCACAUUCAAGUGAUGACACUAUCAAGAUUUACCACAAAGAUAAUGAAUUACUCUUAUUUCACAUAAGAACGUGAAGAUUACAUCUUGACCUUGCCUAUUCAUUGAACUUGAGCCAUCACUACCUUUUCACCUUGCUGUAAAUAUCUGGUGUAUCACUCUCCUCAUAAUUUACCAUUGUGGCAGGGAAUUGCAUAUCUAGAUGUACUCAUCACAUCACACUUUCUUCCCAAGACAAAGGACUUCCAAAGUGCCGGCCUCUGAACAUGAGAAUAAUUAUCCAUCUUUAUGUGCAUAGAAUUGUAUAUAUUCAUGUGUCUAGUCAGACCAUAUUUAAUAAUCAUUUGUAUUACAUUACAUCCUUGUAAUUCAAUAUUAUACUAUGAAAAAAAUAUUCUUCUAUUUUGAACAUUUAAUUGAUGCUAAAAUAUUUUAUUCUCAAUUA